AUUGAACGCUGGCGGCAGGCUUAACACAUGCAAGUCGAGCGGGGAAGGUUGCUUCGGUAACUAACCUAGCGGCGGACGGGUGAGUAAUGCUUAGGAAUCUGCCUAUUAGUGGGGGACGACAUUCCGAAAGGAAUGCUAAUACCGCAUACGCCCUACGGGGGAAAGCAGGGGAUCUUCGGACCUUGCGCUAAUAGAUGAGCCUCAGUCGGAUUAGCUAGUUGGUGGGGUAAAGGCCUACCAAGUCGACGAUCUGUAGCGGGUCUGAGAGGAUGAUCCGCCACACUGGGACUGAGACACGGCCCAGACUCCUACGGGAGGCAGCAGUGGGGAAUAUUGGACAAUGGGCGGAAGCCUGAUCCAGCCAUGCCGCGUGUGUGAAGAAGGCCUUUUGGUUGUAAAGCACUUUAAGCGAGGAGGAGGCUCCUUUAGUUAAUACCUAAAGUGAGUGGACGUUACUCGCAGAAUAAGCACCGGCUAACUCUGUGCCAGCCGCCGCCGUAAAAC
rnacentral:rRNA from 1 species